rnacentral:rRNA from 1 species
GAUGAACGCUGGCUACAGGCUUAACACAUGCAAGUCGAGGGGAAACGACGGGGAAGCUUGCUUCCCCGGGCGUCGACCGGCGCACGGGUGAGUAACGCGUAUCCAACCUGCCUCUGACUGAGGGAUAACCCGUCGAAAGUCGGCCUAAUACCUCAUGGUAUCGUCUGCGGGCAUCCAACGACGAUUAAAGAUUUCAUCGGUCAGGGAUGGGGAUGCGUCUGAUUAGCUUGUUGGCGGUGUAACGGCCCACCAAGGCUACGAUCAGUAGGGGUUCUGAGAGGAAGGUCCCCCACAUUGGAACUGAGACACGGUCCAAACUCCUACGGGAGGCAGCAGUUAGGAAUAUUGGUCAAUGGGCGAGGGCCUGAACCAGCCAAGUAGCGUGCAGGAAGACGGACCUAUGGGUUGUAAACUGCUUUUAUGCGGGGAUAAAGUGAGGGACGUGUCCCUCAUUGCAGGUACCGCAUGAAUAAGGACCGGCUAAUUACGUG